rnacentral:rRNA from 1 species
UACGUAGGGUGCGAGCGUUGCCCGGAAUUAUUGGGCGUAAAGGGCUCGUAGGCGGUUUGUCGCGUCGGGAGUGAAAUCCACUGGCUUAACUGGUGGCUUGCUUUCGAUACGGGCAGACUGGAGGUAUGCAGGGGAGAACGGAAUUCCUGGUGUAGCGGUGAAAUGCGCAGAUAUCAGGAGGAACACCGGUGGCGAAGGCGGUUCUCUGGGCAUUACCUGACGCUGAGGAGCGAAAGCGUGGGGAGCAAACAGG